rnacentral:tRNA from 1 species
GUUCAAGUGGCUUAGUGGUAGAGUGCUUGCCCAUUAUGCAUGAAGCCCUGGGUUCGAUACCUUAGCUUGCCCA